AACCCAUGGUGAGUGCACCUCCUCAAAAGAUCCUUGUAUCUCUCCUAUGCAUCGUAGAGUGUUUCUAAAUCCAUCUGCACAAAAAAGGAGAUAUUAUUACGUAAUUU
rfam:Gossypium arboreum cultivar AKA8401 contig_52298_5, whole genome shotgun sequence.